rnacentral:rRNA from 1 species
GAUGAACGCUGGCGGCGUGCCUAAUACAUGCAAGUCGAGCGAACGGACGAGAAGCUUGCUUCUCUGAUGUUAGCGGCGGACGGGUGAGUAACACGUGGAUAACCUACCUAUAAGACUGGGAUAACUUCGGAAAACCGGAGCUAAUACCGGAUAAUAUUUUGCACCGCAUGGUUCAAAAGUGAAAGACGGUCCUGCUGUCACUUAUAGAUGGAUCCGCGCUGCAUUAGCUAGUUGGUAAGGUAACGGCUUACCAAGGCAACGAUGCAUAGCCGACCUGAGAGGGUGAUCGGCCACACGGGAACUGAGACACGGUCCAGACUACUACGGGAGGCAGCAGUAGGGAAUCUUACGCAAUGGGCGAAAGCCUGACGGAGCAACGCCGCGUGAGUGAUGAAGGUCUUCGGAUCGUAAAACUCUGUUAUUAGGGAAGAACAUAUGUGUAAGUAACUGUGCACAUCGUGACGGUACCUAACCAGAAAGCCACGGCUAACUACGUG